ACUCUCUGCUACUCCACGGCGCACCGAUAUAAACGUUUUCCACUUGGUACUUGUGGUCGUCGAGGGAAGCGCAGUCGGUUGCGCAGUUGGCUGUCAGUCAGCAGUCCGCGUGAUCGA
ensembl:ncRNA D1046.11 ncRNA